rnacentral:rRNA from 1 species
GGGUGCCCAGGCGCGAAAACUUUACAAUGCGGGCAACCGUGAUAAGGAAACCCCGAGUGCCAGCACAGGCUGGCUGUCCGCCAGUGUAAAAAACUGGUGAAGAAAGGGCCGGGCAAGACCGGUGCCAGCCGCCGCGGUAAUACCGGCGGCUCGAGUGGUGGCCGCUUUUACUGGGCUUAAAGGGUCCGUAGCUGGAUUCACAAGUCCCUUGAGAAAUCUAUCGGCUUAACUGAUAGGCGUUCAGGGGAUACUGUGGUUCUAGGGACCGGGAGAGGUGAGAGGUACUGCCGGGGUAGGAGUGAAAUCCUGUAAUCCCGGUGGGACGACCUAUAGCGAAGGCAUCUCACCAGAACGGCUCCGACAGUGAGGGACGAAAGCUGGGGGAGCAAACCGGAUUAGAUACCCGGGUAGUCCCAGCUGUAAACGAUGCGCGUUAGGUGUGUCAGUGACCACGUGUCACUGAUGUGCCGAAGGGAAACCGUGAAACGCGCCGCCUGGGGAGUACGGUCGCAAGGCUGAAACUUAAAGGAAUUGGCGGGGGAGCAC